rnacentral:rRNA from 1 species
CCCAGACUCCUACGGGAGGCAGCAGUGGGGAAUAUUGCACAAUGGGGGGAAACCCUGAUGCAGCGACGCCGCGUGGGUGAAGAAGUAUUUCGGUAUGUAAAGCCCUAUCAGCAGGGAAGAAGAAUGACGGUACCUGACUAAGAAGCACCGGCUAAAUACGUGCCAGCAGCCGCGGUAAUACGUAUGGUGCAAGCGUUAUCCGGAUUUACUGGGUGUAAAGGGAGCGCAGGCGGCACGCUAAGCCUGAUGUGAAAACCCGCGGCCCAACCGCGGGAGUGCAUUGGGAACUGGCGAGCUAGAGUACCGGAGGGGCAGGCGGAAUUCCUAGUGUAGCGGUGAAAUGCGUAGAUAUUAGGAGGAACACCAGUGGCGAAGGCGGCCUGCUGGACGGAGACUGACGCUGAGGCUCGAAAGCGUGGGGAGCAAACAGGAUUAGAUACCCGUGUA